ACAGAGGAUUAUGGCUUUAGGUGGGAAAUAAACAGCAGGAACAGAUGAACACUUAAGAAACAAAGAUCCUGUUUUCAUGCAAAUGUCUUUUGUCAUCAAGAACAAGAGACAAACGGAGCCAUCUAGCAGCUCCUCACCGGAGGACCUCCGCCUCAAACCUUAUCUGACAAUGCACCUAGAGAUACCAGCAGAUGUAUCCUCACACAUAAGAAAUUGAGAAAAAGGUGACACUUCUACAGAAGAUGAAGUAUAUUACCUAAUGACAGUGCUUUCCUGAGGCACUUCCUUGUGAAGCAGACAUUUAGAGACCAUGGCAGAACCAAACACGGACCUUGGGAGACCAACAGCUGUUAAACUCGGGACUUCGGAUCACACUUAAAAGGAAAUUCUAGAACAUACCAUAGCUUUUGAGGAACGCAUCUAGCUCAUCAGAAGGACAAGCCCAUUUAUUUUUCAGCAUGGUGACAGAUAGCAAAUGAGAAGACAUCUGCUAAAAUAGAAUGGCAGUAAUAAUGUUAGAUGGACACCUAUCUGUCUCUCUUAAAAAUCCAAUACAGCACUGCUGUAAUUCGCUCUCAAUAACUGGCCAUCAAUUAAUCUUUUGCAAGAGAGGUUUAGACCAUAAACUUGUAUUGAUUUUAAAAUUAAGAAUAAAACUGGAAAACAGCCACAUGCAGAACAUCUUCCAAAAGCGUUUCACAAGACAGACCUUUUGCUUCCCAGCUUAAUCUCUGCAAAUUUAUGUACUUAGAAAAACUAGAAGAAAUGCUCUGCUAGAUUCACCACAGAACGAGGGUUGCAGUAACCUGCAGUAACCGCAGCAAAAUCUGCCCCUGCCGAUGCAGUGGGUGCUCCCUGCCUUAAAGACAAUUUCACACUGUCUAAACUUGUUCAAUCCAAGAGGAAAUCAAUGUUUACCACCCCGAGCAACAAAGGGAAUUAGUUCCCAUCCAACCUGUGAGAAGGCAUUUAUUUUCUAUCCUUGAAAGAGCUUUACAUCUCACACUCAGAAUACCUGGAGAUCUCACUCAAUGUAAUCUCUAAUCCUCCAUCUCAAAGCCUUCUGUCUACCCCCACGAGCUACAUUUGGGAAAAAUAACUUUACUAAAAGAGGACCGUACAUUGCAAAAGCUUGCUUUUAAUCGACUAAUAAAACUGGAAACAUUCAACAAGGGGCUGUGGCUUUCAAGGGACCAUCCACUGGAAAUAUAACUUCCUCCUGCAAUGCUCACUAGAAAUGUUUCACCGUUAUAAUGAAAAUAGUUAAUCUGAUAAAAGUCACAAGAGGCACUGCCUUGCAAGAAGAAUCAGUGAAAAUUUGGGCAGAGAUGCAGUGUAGCAAUAUAACAGAGGGUUACAUGCUAAUAAAGCUGACACCGCAAACUCUCUUUGUACGUAGGUCCCUACCCCAUGUUAUGUUGCUUUUGUCAUUUACUAACUUGUAAACUUAUAACACGUCAAGUCAGCAAAGCAGGCCUGCUGAUUUUGGCCGCAAGUCACACAGGAGACCACAACUCUUACUGACCUUUUUCUUUUUUCCCCCAGAGGGAGGAGUGAGAGGUGUUAUAUCUUUUAAGUGCGUGUCAUACAAGCAGAGAUUAGAAAACAGACUGCUUUAGUGUUUCCCACUAAUAAAAUACCCAAAUUCUGGAAAAGUUUUUUCAGUGCCACUGCAAACAUUCCAGGGAUAAGCAAACAUCAGGUUCUGAAAUGCUUGAGGAGUCACUGAAAGCUAUUCUCCCUCCGUUCCCAACACAGUAACAGUUGUUGCUCCUCUGUUUACACACAAGACAUGUGAAAAUACAGAUAUGAAGGACUAACUUUAGGACUGCGUACAUUUGAAGUGAGUUCACCACAAGCAAAAUGUUACCAAUGCAGCAUCAGACAAAUCACACACAAGCUCCCACAGCCCAGCAAACUUCAUCACUCAAAUGGAGAAUUCUGGGUGCUGAAAGAAAAAAGGCUCAAAAAAAUUCUUCGUGUCUACUUCAAUAAACAUAACUACAGCUCCUUUGAAAACUACAGCUGCUCCAUUUAGCAUUAUCAGAUUUAUUUUACAAAACACAGAGAUACGUUUUAAUUUCCAAAUGAUCCUUAGAGGAAACAAAAUAGAAUAGCAGUGCUAGUGGGGAAUGCGGUGUUAUUAA